UACUAUAAAUUAUGAGCACCCGCAAAAAAAUUGAAUUCCACAAAUAAUACCAAUUACAAUAUAUUAAAUAAAUUCUAAACAUUUACAUUCUCAUCAAGCACAAAAUUUAAAUCUUAAAUUGAUUUGUCGGGCUCCUCCUUAUUAAGAGGAGUACCCUCCAAAAAUUAACGUAUGCUGUUUAAUGUGGAGAGCACACAGCAUUCUUCUAUUCUCAGUCCUAUAGUAAGGCUAUCUCCAACAGCCCUUAGGCUAUCGGCUAUCUCCAGCAGCCCUUAGGCUAUCAUAAGCAGUCUCUUUGCUGCUAUAAAUAAAAGGUGCAUUGUAUAUGCACCAAAUGCUGGCCUAAGAAUAUAGGGCGGAAGAAUAGUUAGCUGUGUGCUCACCACGCAGCUGCGUGAUGGGAACCUGAGAACUUCGCCCUCUUUAUGUAGGCGGCCUCUCUUCUGCCUCCUCCUUCCGCGAGGCGAUCUGGUGCUAUUCCGUCCACUCCACGCCACAUUUGCUUCGCAUGGAUAUGAUGGGCUGCCUUGUCGCCUUCUGCGGCCCACAAGAUGCGUCUCGCUCGCAGAAUCGGAACUAUCCCGUUGCGUUUACGUGAGAGGCCGGGGCGUUUACGUACUUUGAUUAGAAAGAGUGGUGGACACAAACGCGAACGCUGUCGAUGUGGCGCUGUGCUGGUGUCCUUGUCCUUGCCCGGGACAGAAACAGAACCUUCUAGAGCUCCAACAGAAGCUUCUCCACACUUGGCGCUUCUAUCGAUCCACCUAUCCACUCAGCUCUCCAGGCCGGAGCUCAUAUAUCUCUCCCACCCGCGCUCGCCCUGCGUGUGCGAGUUUGACGGCGGCGACGACCGGCGAUGGUGGUGCUCACGGAGGAGUUUCACGGCGGCCUUUCGUUGAAGCGGAAGGGCGCCCACGAGCCGGGCCUCUUCGACGUCGACGCCGGCGCCACCAAGAUGCGGCGCCUCGCGUGUCCCGACGGCCCUCGCGGCGGGGCCGACCAGGCCGUGACGGCGGCGUGGGAGGAUGACGUUGCGAUGGGCGACGCGGCGCCGGCGGCGACGUCUCCUUCGCCCAGCGACGACGGGAGGGCGGUGGUGGUGUACAGAGACGGAGACGGAGAAAGCGUCAGAGGCAGCUGCAGCAGUAGGCGGAUCGGGAUCGACGCCCCGCGCCUCGCGCUGCGCGACGGCACCGGCGCGGGCGCGGACUGGAUCCGCGCCAUGCUCCGGGAGGCGGACAGCAGGACGGUGCGGCAGCUGCUCGCCGGCGCCGCCAAGGAACAUGGCUCCGAUCCUGACCUCGCCCUGGCCGUCGUGCCCUGGGUGGCUCCGGCGCCGGCGGAGGCGGAGGCGGAGGACGGCGAUGACCGCGAGGCGGCGAUGGACGUCGAGGGAGAUCCACCUAUCCACUCAGCUCUCCAGGCCGGAGCUCAUAUAUCUCUCCCACCCGCGCUCGCCCUGCGUGUGCGAGUUUGACGGCGGCGACGACCGGCGAUGGUGGUGCUCACGGAGGAGUUUCACGGCGGCCUUUCGUUGAAGCGGAAGGGCGCCCACGAGCCGGGCCUCUUCGACGUCGACGCCGGCGCCACCAAGAUGCGGCGCCUCGCGUGUCCCGACGGCCCUCGCACACACGGCGCGUCCACCCAGGCUGUCGGGCCGCGACACACGCGCCCGCACGUAUAGCAGCGGGCUUUAGAUCUCUUGGGCCAACACUCCCCCCAAAAAGCUAGCCUGAUAGGGGGUUGUACCCUCAACCAUAUAAAUCAUGCUUUUCCACUCUCACCAGACAAUGUGGGACUAUUCCCAACAAUCUCCCCCUCACACAUUGUGAGCCGAGAUUUGUCUUGAGAAUGCACUGGGCCAACCUGGCUCUGAUACCAAUUGUUGGAACCGGACCGCCGACACAUGGCGCGUCCGUCAGGGCCGCUCGCACACACGGCGCGCCCAUCCAGGCUGUCGGUCCGCGACACACGCGCCCGCACGUAUAGCAGCGGGCUUUAGGUCUCUUGGGCCAACACUCCCCCCAAAAAGCUAGCCUCAUAGGGAGUUGUACCCUCAACCAUAUAAAUCAUGCUUUUCCACUCUCACCAGACAAUGUGCGACUAUUCCCAACAAUGAUGAGUCGAGAAGGCAGGAAAGUCGGCCCUGGACCAGCCAUGGCCAGGUGUACGACGCCGUUGCUGCGGAGGGGUUGGUGUACCGGUGGCCGCAGCUCUGCUGGGCGGCGGUGGCGCAGGCAGGCCCGGUGAUGUGGUCGUAGUGAACGGCGUCUGGUCAGACUGUUCGGCUGCCGAGUGAUACUUCGAGCUGGGACCGGCGGCCGGGCGCCAUUGUUGUCCGAUGGCAUGGGAAGCCUUCUCGAUCGCCAUUGCCGUAGACCGAUCAGGAUUAGAUUCGCCUGGUACAGGUGUGUGCUCGUCGUGAUUCAGAGCCAGAGCCAGAGAUGACGAUGCCAGCAAUUCUAUGAUGGUCGAUUUUCUUCGUUGUGUGCUCGUAGAGACAGAUGCAUUUCGACAAAGCCAAUACUGACAGCGUGUCAGCACUCGGUUCUACUUUGCACUUUGCAGUGAAGUACACAAGGAAUUCAGUUAUCACUUGUAUGCUCUAGCAUAGAUGUUAGAUGGGACAAUACCCUAUAGACAAGGAAUGUAAUUGGUUACAAAUUUCGGGACAAUAAAACGCUUGAA